rnacentral:rRNA from 1 species
UCGGGAAUUUUGGGCAAUGGGCGAAAGCCUGACCCAGCAACGCCGCGUGAGGGAUGAAGUAUUUCGGUAUGUAAACCUCGAAAGAAUGGGAAGAAUAAAUGACGGUACCAUUUAUAAGCUCCGGCUAACUACGUGCCAGCAGCCGCGGUAAUACGUAGGGAGCAAGCGUUGUUCGGAUUUACUGGGCGUAAAGGGUGCGUAGGCGGCGCGGUAAGUCACUUGUGAAAUCUCUGAGCUUAACUCAGAACGGCCAAGUGAUACUGCUGUGCUAGAGUGCGGAAGAGGCCACCGGAAUUCUUGGUGUAGCGGUGAAAUGCGUAGAUAUCAAGAGGAACACCUGAGGCGAAGGCGGGUUGCUGUGCCGACACUGACGCUGAUGCGCGAAAGCCAGGGGAGCAAACG